rnacentral:rRNA from 1 species
CUACGGGUUGCUGCAGUUAGGAAUAAUCUACAAUGCGCGCAAGCGUGAUAGUUUGAGCCAGAGUGUUUUUCUAUUUGAAAAGCUUUUGCCGAAUGUAAAAAGUUCGGCGAAUAAGGACUGGGUAAGACGAGUGCCAGCCGCCGCGGUAAUACUCGCGGUCCAAGUCGCAGCCAUUUUUAUUGGGUCUAAAACAUCCGUAGCUUGCUUGAUAAGUUUCCUGUGAAAUCCGGCUUCUUAAGAGCUGGGCGGGCAGGAAGUACUGUUAAGCUAGAGACUGGGAGACGUAAGAAGUACGUUUAAAGUAACGGUAAAAUGUGUUAAUCUUAAACGGACUCACAACAGCGAAGGCAUCUUACGAGAACAGUUCUGACAGUCAGGGAUGAAGGCUAGGGGCGCAAAACGGAUUAAUACCCCCGUAGUC